UUCAGGGUUUCACCAUUCUAGCCAGGAUGGUCUCGAUCUCCUGACCUCAUGAUCCAGUCACCUCAGCCUCCCAAAGUGCUGGGAUUACAGGCAUGAGCCACCGCGCCUGGCCUGGAGCAGGUACUUUUUAUCCAUCACCUUAUUUAAUCAUCAUAUCCCUCUUAGUCUGCUAGGGUUGCCAUAAGAAAAUACCAUAGACUGGGUGGCUGAUACAACAACAAUUUAUUUUCUCACAUUCUGGAGGCUAGAAAGUUCCAGAUCAAGGUCCUGCAGGGUUCGGUUUCUGGUGAGGACUGUCUUCCUGGCUUACAGGAAACCACCAUCCCAUUGUGUGCUCACAUGACCUCUGCUUUGACUGAUCUCUGAAAGGGAAUUCUGGUGUCUCUUCCUCUUCUCAUAAGGGCACUAGCUCUAUGGGAUUAGGGAUCCACCCUUUUGACCUCAUUUAACCUUUAUCACCUCCUCACAGGCCCUAUCUCCAAAUGGGGAUAACAUUGGGGAUCAGGGCUUCAACAUAUAAAGUUGAAGAGAACAUGAUUCAGUCUAUAGUAAUCCCUGAUGGGAGACAUCAUUAUUGUCAUUUAUAGGAAGCUGAGACAUAAAAAGUUUAACCUUCAGAUUCCACAGCUAGAAUUAGUGUAAAAUGCAGGUGUAUUUGACUCCUAAAACCCAUUUCUCCAUCCACUAUUCUGGGUGUCUCAAACUGGGACCUAAAAUGUGGAGGUUUGCACAUGACCUGAAAUUACUUCCACCACUGGGAGAAGGGAGGAUUGAGCAAUUUCCUGUUUCUAUUAAAGUGAAUUAUACAAACUUGUCAUUCUGGGGAUGAAAGGUCACCCUAGAAUUGCCUAUGGGCAAUUUCUUAUAGUUCAACCUAGAAUGAGAAAUGGGAAAUUCAGAAAGGCAUUGUAAGCAUCUGUAACCAGCGGAGGGACGUGCCCCACCUGGGUGGGGACCAUGCAUCCUUGCCACAUGCCCCACUGCACAACUUCCCCAGCUCCUCGAUGUCACAUGGAUCUGGAAAGCAGGGAGACUGGACUACGGAGCCAGCCCUCCAGGGUUGGAACUGAGUUUGAAUCUCAGCUUGACUACUUACUGGGAUCUAAGGUAACAUGUUUAAUCUCUCUGUGCUCAGUUUCCUCAUCUGGAAAUACAGACUAUAAUGCUCCUCCCUCAUAUGAUCAUAGUGAGGACUGAAAGAGUUAAUGCAUAUAAGGAGUGUUAGGACAGGAUCUGGCACAUGGUAAAUGCUUUAUAAGUGUUAGUUGUUAUCAUCAUGAUUAUUCUUGUUUGAAUUAUAAGAGAAAAAGUAUGUAUCUUAAGAAUAGAGGCUUUUAAAAUGCUCCCAAGUUCCUUAACCAACCUGAGCCAUCUGUAAAUUAAGUACUAUGGGAUUUCCAGCUCUGAUAUGUAUUCUGACAUGUAACUGGCAUCAGUUUAAUACAAACUAUUCUAAAAUGUCUUGUGCCCUUGACAGGGAGGUCCAAGUACUGGAUACUUGCAAUGCAAUCCAGCAGUGGCCCCGUCUUUCUUACAAAAAGGCCCCAGUCACAUGUUGAUGAGGCUAGAUCUAUUCCUGUCCUCCUUCUCUUCCUCAUAUUUCCUUCUUCUUCUUCAAGUCUAAACGUUUAUUGAACUGAGACCCAUGAAUGAGUUACUCGACUAGGCUUGUAGGAUAAACUUGCCAGGCUUUAGAUCUAUUUGUUCCUUUCCAUCCCCCAAAAUCAAAUGGCUGCUCCAGGAAAAUGUUCCCCUUGUGGCAGGGUCCGGGAGAAAAGAGAGAGGCGACAAAACCAAAAAUUAAAACGACCGAAGUCCCAUAUGCUCCAGGAAUAUGUCCUGGAGAUGGGAGUGGAGGGCAGGGGGAGAAUGUUGUUCAGGUCAAAAUUCUUGAAGUUUUAAGUCCUAUAUCUUGACAUCCCGAGUAUAAAUGCGGGUACCAGACACAGUACAAACGUUCUCAAAGCCCAGUUACGUAUUCCAAACCAAACGCGGGCUCUUGAAGGGUGAUGAGGUAGGGAUGAAAUCCAGGAUCGCCUGAAGACCAUUUCUUCCUCUCUUAGGGACCUGCUGGUCUCCAGCUGAUUCGGUCCAGGAGGAAAAACCUCCCACUUGCUCCUCUCGGGCUUCCUGCAAGGAGAGAGUAGAGACACUCCUGCCACCCAGUUGCAAGAAGUCGCCACUUCCCCCUCCAGCCGACUGAAAGUUCGGGCGACGUCUGGGCGGUCAUUUGAAGCCGUUUCCUUUUCUUUAAGAACAAAGGUUGGAGCCCAAGCCUUGCGGCGCGGUGCAGGAAAGUACACGGCGUGUGUUGAGAGAAAAAAACACACACACGCAAUGACCCACGAGAAAGGGAAAGGGGAAAACACCAACUACCCGGGCGCUGGGCUUUUUCGACUUUUCCUUUAAAAAGAAAAAAGUUUUUCAAGCUGUAGGUUCCAAGAACAGGCAGGAGGGGGGAGAAGGGGGGGGGUUGCAGAAAAGGCGCCUGGUCGGUUAUGAGUCACAAGUGACUUAUAAAAGGGUCGCACGUUCGCAGGCGCGGGCUUCCUGUGCGCGGCCGAGCCCGGGCCCAGCGCCGCCUGCAGCCUCGGGAAGGGAGCGGAUCGCGGAGCCCCGAGCCGCCCGCAGAGCAAGCGCGGGGAACCAAGGAGACGCUCCUGGCACUGCAGAUAACUUGUCUGCAUUUCAAGAACAACCUACCAGAGACCUUAGCUGUCACCUUGGCUCUCCCACCCAAUGGAGAUGGCUCUAAUGGUGGCACAAACCAGGAAGGGGAAAUCUGUGGUUUAAAUUCUUUAUGCCUCAUCCUCUGAGUGCUGAAGGCUUGCUGUAGGCUGUAUGCUGUUAAUGCUAAUCGUGAUAGGGGUUUUUGCCUCCAACUGACUCCUACAUAUUAGCAUUAACAGGGUAUGAUGCCUGUUACUAGCAUUCACAUGGAACAAAUUGCUGCCGUGGGAGGAUGACAAAGAAGCAUGAGUCACCCUGCUGGAUAAACUUAGACUUCAGGCUUUAUCAUUUUUCAAUCUGUUAAUCAUAAUCUGGUCACUGGGAUGUUCAACCUUAAACUAAGUUUUGAAAGUAAGGUUAUUUAAAAGAUUUAUCAGUAGUAUCCUAAAUGCAAACAUUUUCAUUUAAAUGUCAAGCCCAUGUUUGUUUUUAUCAUUAACAGAAAAUAUAUUCAUGUCAUUCUUAAUUGCAGGUUUUGGCUUGUUCAUUAUAAUGUUCAUAAACACCUUUGAUUCAACUGUUAGAAAUGUGGGCUAAACACAAAUUUCUAUAAUAUUUUUGUAGUUAAAAAUUAGAAGGACUACUAACCUCCAGUUAUAUCAUGGAUUGUCUGGCAACAUUUUUUAAAAGAUUUAGAAACUGGUACUUUCCCCCAGGUAACGAUUUUCUGUUCAGGCAACUUCAGUUUAAAAUUAAUACUUUUAUUUGACUCUUAAAGGGAAACUGAAAGGCUAUGAAGCUGAAUUUUUUAAAUGAAAUAUUUUUAACAAUUAGCAGGGUAAAUAACAUCUGACAGCUAAUGAGAUAUUUUUUCCAUACAAGAUAAAAAGAUUUAAUCAAAAAAUUUCAUAUUUGAAAUGAAGUCCCAAAUCUAGGUUCAAGUUCAAUAGCUUAGCCACAUAAUAUGAUUGUGCGAGCAGAGAAUCUACCUUUCCACUUCUAAGCCUGUUUCUUCUUCCAUAAAAUGGGGAUAAUACUUUACAAGGUUGUUGUGAGGCUUAGAUGAGAUAGAGAAUUAUUCCAUAAGAUAAUCAAGUGCUACAUUAAUGUUAUAGUUAGAUUAAUCCAAGAACUAGUCACCCUACUUUAUUAGAGAAGAGAAAAGCUAAUGAUUUGAUUUGCAGAAUUUUUAAGGUUUGGAUUUCUAUGCAGUUUUUCUAAAUAACCAUCACUUACAAAUAUGUAACCAAACAUAAUUGUUAGUAUAUUUAAUGUAAACUUGUUUAAACAACUCUUCUCAACAUUUUGUCCAGGUUAUUCACUGUAACCAAAUAAAUCUGAGUCUUUAGUUGAUUUAAAGUAA